GAUGAACGCUGGCGGCGUGCUUAACACAUGCAAGUCGAACGAAGCAUUUAAGACAGAUUACUUCGGUUUGAAGUCUUUUAUGACUGAGUGGCGGAUGGGUGAGUAACGCGUGGGUAACCUGCCUCAUACAGGGGGAUAGCAGCUGGAAACGGCUGGUAAUACCGCAUAAGCGCACGGUAUCACAUGAUACAGUGUGAAAAACUCCGGUGGUAUGAGAUGGACCCGNGUCUGAUUAGCUAGUUGGUGAGGUAACGGCCCACCAAGGCGACGAUCAGUAGCCGACCUGAGAGGGUGACCGGCACAUUGGGACUGAGACACGGCCCUAGACUCCUACGGGAGCAGCAGUGGGGAAUAUUGCACAAUGGAGGAAACUCUGAUGCAGCG
rnacentral:rRNA from 1 species